UAUUCUCGCUGGUAAUCGAUCCAUCCGCGAGAUCGAUCAUUUUUCUCCUUAAAAUCUUCAACAAACUACACAUGUGGAGAGAAAGCAUCAAGGAAAUUCCGACGGUGCUACUGAGAACUGUAUAAAUGAAAAAUCCAGCCAGAAGUUGCAGCAUGAAGAUCAUCUCGUAGUAUGGACUAACUAAUUCGUUAAAAAAAGAACAUGACCAAGAUACACGGAAUCACGAUACACAUUUGCAAGGAAAUGGAGAAAAAAAUUAUAAACCAUUUUCGUAUCUUCGAGCUUAAAGAAAAUUCAAUUGGCCAAGCACCGAUUAUCUUCAAAAACGGUUGCGCGUAGAACGCUUGCUUCAAAUCUUUUUCCACGUAUUUCGUUUCCAUUAUUUCUUUCCAAUGGUUGAAAGUUCAUGAGAUUGAAUGAUAUCAAUAACAUGAUCAUGCAAAUCCCGAUUUUCCCACUUGCAAAGCAUCUCGAUCUUUCUAUUGAUAUAACCUCGAAUCGCAGCAGUGCAUCAUUAUAGAAGCAAUCAACCUGAGCACGUCCAAAAUGCACGGAGCUAUGAUACAUAUUUGCAAGAAAAAGGAGAAAGAAAUUAUAAACCAUUUUUGUAUUUUCAAACUCAAAGAAGAUUCGAUAGCGAUUGGCCAAGCACCAAUUAUCUUCAGGAACAGUUGUUCAUGUAAGAAUCAGCAGAUGCGCAAAACGAUGGCAAAUUAUGAACUUAUACCUUGCAUGCACAAUCCAGAUUAGUUCCUGUGUUUACUGGUCAUAGAUGAUAUACAUCUGUUUUAUUAUUUGAAAAUAUUUUUUGAAAAAAUAUAACAUUGAUUGUAAUAUUUGUACGAUUAUAUAUAAGAGACUUAAUUAUUUAUGAAGUGUUGAACAAUCGUGAGAUUUAAUAAUAUUUGAGUUGUGAUAUUUCUUUGAUUAUAUUGCAGAGAACAUUUGUUAUUUUUAUAUCAUUAAAGUUUCCAAAGAUAAAGUUUCCAGUGAAUAAUUAUAAAUUAUAAAAUAAUUUUAAAAAAGAAAUUUACGACAAGACACAUAGAAAAUUUAGAUAUGCUGCUGAAGUUUUAAAAACCUACAAUAAUUUUUUCGUUUUCAAGAAUUUUUACAACAAUACGUUGAAAAUAACGUAAUGAGAAAAAUACAUUGGAAUUUACAUCACAAAAUACUCGAAGCGAAAGAUCUAACAUCUUGGCGCCAGACAGGCUUGAUGGUCGACUAGCUCUAAGUAUGAUUAUCCUUAUAUUUUUCGCUACUUCUGUCGGAAAAUCGUACCAUGGUAGAAAAUAUGAUGUUUGUCCUAUUCUUUCACUCUUUUUGAUUCAUAAAAUGACUUAUUAAAAAAGUACAAUUUAAUAUACGAAAUAAAAAAAUUAUAUAAAAAAAUAUACCUCUUGUUUGAGACGAUCACCAAUGAAUGAUAAUAUGAAAACAUUUACGAACAUUGACGUCACUAAAACAAAGUGAGAUUGAAUAAUGUCAACGAUGCGACCACGCAAAUCUCGGUUUUUUAAAAUCGUCUCGAUCCUUCUGUUGGUGACCUCGAAUAGACCGCAGCAAUGCAUCGUUAUAGAAGCGAUCAAGCUGUAGAUCCCAUAAUUCAAGGACAUUAUUAGAAAACUGGUGAACAUUUGCACGACAAAGGUUAUCUCGUAAGUUGGCGAAUCUUCGAUGACGAAGAAAACAUAAUCGCUCAAAUAUGGCAAAGGUAUCUGAGUACUGUUAUCAGCUUUGACGAUCUUCUCUGAUAUCAAGGGCAAAAUAAUGUGAUAGGGCAAGGCACCUCCGUAACCGAGGAACAGAUACACGAUUGUGAAGAUUCGACCGAUUUUCGCAGUAUUCAUCAUUACCAACCGAUCUUCUUCGCAUUCCACGUCUCUGUACUGUAUCUCCAUCUCCAUCAAGCAAAAUCUGAUCUCAUUUCUGUUAAUCAGAAUCGUCCAGAUCUUGAUGAUCGCCAAAAGGCUGAAAACCUGGGCGGCUAUCACCUUCAUAUAUUUGGUCAGAUUUUCGCAAUCGAAAAUAUUACCACAGGGUAAUAUUUGGGACACGUAAGUGCACAUUUUAUUACGUAAAAUAGAUUAUCUACGUAAGGAAUUAAAAGCAUCAUUACAGAGUAUCAUUUGCGGAAACCAUCGGCGUUACUAUUCGAUAUGAAUUGAAAAAGCCAAGCAUUUCCGAUAAAAAUACGAUGCUCAGUGAUUCUCCAACCCGUGCAGAGUAUCUAAAAUUGAUUUUUUAUCACGAAAUAAAAACAUACAACUAUAAAAAUCAAUAGCCAAUCGACAAAUAAUCUAUCAGACGCAUAAC